rnacentral:pre_miRNA from 1 species
CUUCUACUCCCUUCGUUCUGAAUUACUUGUCGCACGUAUGGAUGUAUUUAGAUGUAUUUUAGUUCUAGAUACAUCCAUUUCAGCGACGAGUAAUUUGGAACGGAGGGAGUACUAC